UCCGGUUCUUCACCAGCAGUCUCCUUAGAGUCCCCGACUUUACUCGUUGGUAACUAAGGAUAAGGGUUGCGCUCGUUACGGGACUUAACCCAACAUCUCACAACACGAGCUGACGACAGCCAUGCAGCACCUGUCUCUAGGUUCCUUUCGGCACAACCGCAUCUCUGCAGUCUUCCUAGGAUGUCAAGGGUAGGUAAGGUUCUUCGCGUUGCAUCGAAUUAAACCACAUGCUCCACCGCUUGUGCGGGCCCCCGUCAAUUCCUUUGAGUUUUAAUCUUGCGACCGUACUCCCCAGGCGGAAAACUUAUCGCGUUUGCUUCGAUACUAAACAGUCAAGCUGCCCAACAUCUAGUUUUCAUCGUUUACAGCGUGGACUAC
rnacentral:misc_RNA from 1 species